GGGGAAAAAUUAAUAAAUUAAUUUUAAUAAAAAAAUUUUUAAGUAAAAAUAUAUGGGGGUUAAAGUAUUUUUAUAGAAAAAAUUGAUUAAUUUAUAGUAAAUUAGUAUUGUGAAAGAAUUUUGAAAUAAGUGAAAAAUAAAUUGGAUGUAAGUAAUUUUAAUUUAAUGUAUCUUGGGUAUCAGAGUUUAUUAAAAAAAAUUUUUAAUAAAAAAAAUCUCGAAUUUAAAAGAGAUAACUAAUUAAUAAAGUUAUUGUAGCAUAAAUAUUUUUCAUAAUUAGUUUGAAAUGAAAUGUUAAUCGUUUUUAAAUAUAUCUAGUUUUUUUAGAAAAAAAUUUAAUUUUUUAUUAUUUAUUAAAAUGAAUUAAUUAGUGAAUUUAUUUUAUAAAUAAUUUUAUAUUUUAAGGGAUAAGCUUUAAUUUAUAUUUAUAUAAAUAUUUAAUAAAAAUUAAAUUGAAAUUUUUAUAAUUUAUAUUGUUAAAAAAUUUUAUUUUAUUAUAAAUAAUUUCAUUAAAAAUAAAAUUUAAAAAAAUUUUAUAUUUUUAUAAAAAAAAAUUUUUUAAUUUUAAAAAAUUUGAUAUAAUGAUAAAAUUAGUAUAUAAAUAUUAAAAAUUAUUAUUUUAAAUUAAAUUAAUUAAAAGGAAUUCGGCAAAUAUUUAUAUUCACUUGUUUAUCAAAAACAUGUCUUUUUGUAAAUAAUUUAAAGUCUAAUCUGCCCACUGAUAAAAAUUAAAGGGCUGCAGUAAUUUGACUGUACAAAGGUAGCAUAAUCAUUAGUCAUUUAAUUGAUGACUUGUAUGAAAGAUUGGAUGAAAUAUAAACUGUCUCUUGAUUAUAUAUAGAAUUUAAUUUUUUAAUUAAAAAGUUAAAAUAAAUUAAAAAGACGAGAAGACCCUAUAGAGUUUUAUAAUUUUAUUAAUUAGGAUUAUUUAUAUAAAUAAAAUUAAGAUUUAUGAAAUUAUUUUGUUGGGGUGACAAAAAAAUAAGUAAAACUUUUUUUAAAAUAAUACAUAUAUAAGUGAAUUUUUGAUCCAGUAAUAUUGAUUAUAAGAAAAAAUUACCUUAGGGAUAACAGCGUAAUUUUUUUUUUUAGUUCAUAUAAAAAGAAGAGUUUGCGACCUCGAUGUUGGAUUAAGAUAAAAUUUAAAUGCAGAAGUUUAAAAUUUUUGAUCUGUUCGAUCAUUAAAAUCUUACAUGAUCUGAGUUCAAACCGGUGUAAGCCAGGUUGGUUUCUAUCUUUUAAAAAAUAAAAUAUUUUAGUACGAAAGGAUUAAAUAUUUGAAUUAAAUUUAUUAUUAAAGAAUUUUAUUAAAAAUAUAUAAAAUAAAUAAAUAAUUAUU
rnacentral:rRNA from 1 species